rnacentral:rRNA from 1 species
AUUGAACGCUGGCGGCAGGCCUAACACAUGCAAGUCGAGCGGAUGAAGGGAGCUUGCUCCUGGAUUCAGCGGCGGACGGGUGAGUAAUGCCUAGGAAUCUGCCUGGUCGUGGGGGAUAACGUCCGUAAACGGGCGCUAAUACCGCAUCCGUCCUGAGGGAGAAAGUGGGGGAUCUUCGGACCUCACGCUAUCAGAUGAGCCUAGGUCGGAUUAGCUAGUUGGUGGGGUAAAGGCCUACCAAGGCGACGAUCCGUAACUGGUCUGAGAGGAUGAUCAGUCACACUGGAACUGAGACACGGUCCAGACUCCUACGGGAGGCAGCAGUGGGGAAUAUUGGACAAUGGGCGAAAGCCUGAUCCAGCCAUGCCGCGUGUGUGAAGAAGGUCUUCGGAUUGUAAAGCACUUUAAGUUGGGAGGAAGGGCAGUAAGUUAAUACCUUGAUGUUUUGACGUUACCAACAGAAUAAGCACCGGCUAACUUCGUG